CGAACUGCUCAGUAACACGUGGACAAUCCGCCCUGAAGAAGAGGAUAAUCCCGGGAAACUGGGGGUAAUACUCUAUAGUCCGGGAGGACUGGAAUGUUCUCCGGAUGAAAGAUCCGUCGCUUCAGGAUGAGUCUGCGGCCGAUUAGGUAGUUGUUGGGGUAAAAGCCCAACAAGCCCGUAAUCGGUACGGGUUGUGGGAGCAAGAGCCCGGAGAUGGAUUCUGAGACACGAAUCCAGGCCCUACGGGGCGCAGCAGGCGCGAAAACUUUACAAUGCGGGCGACCGUGAUAAGGAAACCCCGAGUGCCACCACAGGGUGGCUGUCCACCAGUGUAAAAAACUGGUGAAGAAAGGGCCGGGCAAGACCGGUGCCAGCCGCCGCGGUAAUACCGGCGGCUCGAGUGGUGGCCGCUUUUACUGGGCUUAAAGGGUCCGUAGCUUGAUUCACAAGUCCCUUGAGAAAUCCAUCGGCUUAACUGAUGGGCGUUCAGGGGAUACUGUGGUUCUAGGGACCGGGAGAGGUGAGAGGUACUGCCGGGGUAGGAGUGAAAUCCUGUAAUCCCGGUGGGACGACCUAUGGCGAAGGCAUCUCACCAGAACGGCUCCGACAGUGAGGGACGAAAGCUGGGGGAGCAAACCGGAUUAGAUACCCGGGUAGUCCCAGCUGUAAACGAUGCGCGUUAGGUGUGUCAGUGAUCACGUGUCACUGAGAUGCCGAAGGGAAACCGUG
rnacentral:rRNA from 1 species